CACGUAGGGGGCAAGCGUUGUCCGGAUUUAUUGGGCGUAAAGAGCUCGUAGGUGGUUCGGUAAGUCGGGUGUUAAACCCCCAGGCUCAACCUGGGGACGCCACUCGAUACUGCUGUGACUAGAGUCCGGAAGAGGCGAGUGGAAUUCCUGGUGUAGCGGUGGAAUGCGCAGAUAUCAGGAGGAACACCGAUAGCGAAGGCAGCUCGCUGGGACGGUACUGACGCUAAGGCGCGAAAGCGUGGGGAGCGAACAGGA
rnacentral:rRNA from 1 species